CACAUGUCUGCAGUGGAAAACAGUAUUUGACCCCACAACACCGAGGCUGACCAUCAGGGCCAGAACAAGAAAUUACUUGGAGAGGAACCAUGUAUUAAAUCUUUGUGCUAAAUGGAUUGAAGUAGAUUUGGUUUGUACUUCUCAGAGAGGAUUCAAUGUGACAUGUUAUGGGAAGCUCUGGCAGAAAUAUGUGGUAGAAACAUUUAGUGAAUAAGAAGCAACCAAGACAGAGAAGGCCUUUUUUAC